rnacentral:tRNA from 1 species
GGUGGUGUGGUGUAAUGGUAGCACGUGACGUUGUGGAAAAUAUCAAAAGAGUCUUUCAUGCUAAUUAGUCCGUUUCAAUCUGGGUUCGAUUCCCAGCACCGCCA